rnacentral:rRNA from 1 species
GAUGAACGCUAGCGGCAGGCUUAAUACAUGCAAGUCGUGGGGCAGCGCGGGUAGCAAUACCUGGCGGCGACCGGCAAACGGGUGCGGAACACGUACGCAACCUUCCUUUAAGCGGGGAAUAGCCCAGGGAAACUUGGAUUAAUACCCCAUAAGAUUAUGGUGUGGCAUCACACAGUAAUUAAAGCUUCGGCACUUAAAGAUGGGCGUGCGGCUGAUUAGGUAGUUGGCGGGGUAACGGCCC